CAUCUUGGCGGCAUCUUGGAUGUUGUUUAAAGGGUUUCCUGUGGGAGAUAUUUGUGCUGUGGCGAGUUGAGCAUCACCACACACUUUUGUUCGGAUAGACACCACACAGUUCAGGAUAUGUGGAGCAUCUAUUGGAGAUGGCCAAGAUGCCCUUGACAACACACCAUAACGGUAAUCUCCAAGGCAACAAAGCCUUUUUCCCCCGAUCACACAAGAGCUGUCCAGUGUGCUGAACACACCAUCUCAACCCUGCAUCACUUGGUCAACACACAAUUUUACAUUUUGAUGGAUUUAAUGUUUUUACAAAUGGGUUCGCAUGGGCUACUAUACUGGACCUUUAUCAAAAUAAUAACAAAACAGCCACUGGUAAAUACUUUGUGUGUUUCAACAACUGUGUAAUUGAAUAUUGAAAGGAUGUAUGGAACAUUUCUUGACAAUGCGCAAUACAAAAGGUACCUCAUAGAUAGCUCCAUUAGCGACAUUUCAAGCUUGUUGUGGCGUGAGUUUACGGUACGUUAUUAACACUGUUAGAUAUCGUGUGAAAAAGCCACAAAUUUAAGUAUUGGGCACGCAGGGCAUGUGCCCAGGGACCAUAACUUCCAGGAGGCCCCCAUUGAUUUUGUUAUUCAUUCUCACUCAGAUAUCAUAUGAACAUGGCAUAAGUCAUGGCAAAAUGUGUAGAAUUGCAGGAAAUUAGCUUUAAGACUGCAAACAUUUCUCUCCACUCCAUGGCAAAAUGACUAUAGCCUAAGCUUAUCUCAAAGUCCAAG
rnacentral:lncRNA from 8 species